CCUGAAUGAUAAAGUGGACUUUUUGCGUAUCACCUCUCAUACAAACGUGAGUUUAUGUUGUUAAACUCGUCAACCUACAAACAUGUAUUGAACACCUAUUUGAUUGUCUGUUGAAUUAAAUUGUCAAGCCAUCUAUACGUAUUCGUUAGUCGGUGAUGUUUUAGUUACGUCAGGUGUACUUAUUUGACAGAUAUAACUAUGACUUUUGAAACGAUAAGCUGGUUGGCAGAUUAAAAUUUUACAAGAUACAAGUUUUUAUUUUGAGUAUUCCCUCGAUGUGGUUUUUUUAAUCCUUGUAAUUUUUAUUUCCUAUGAUAUCGGAAUAAUUCUCUCGCAAAAUCUAAUAGUACAAAAGCGUAAGACUGAUCGGUGUUCUUUUUCGCCAUCUAUUGAACGUUUAUGGAACUUUUGUUUCUACCAUAUUAUUCCUAGAAUAAAAACUAAAUAUUGAAUUAGAAAUUAAGUAGCUUUUGUAUACUUUUCAGAUGCUUAAGUUGUGUUCGUAGUGUUUUCUAUUUUUCCCAAUUGAUUCAAUUUUUGUAAGCUAGGUAGUAUACAUAUACACCAUACAGUUGAGCUAGUUUUAACUUCUUAGAACGGGGCAACCUGUUCGAUUUGGGUGUGAACGACCCACAACGUAAAUCGAUAACAAUACUUGCCUUUAACGGCUAGUGCAUGUUUUAGUGAAUGUCUGUAAAUAUUCGGUUGUUUUAUUUGUGAUUAUAAUCGCCAUGUAAUGUGGUAUGUACAGAAUUAAGUUGUUUAAUAUUCUCUCACUAAAUAGAAAUAAGGAGGAAAGUGUUUGGAACUGGAUAUGGUAGUCUUGGUAACAGCUUAACAUUCGUUACAGUUUUAUAGGUUUAACAUGGUAGUCUUGGUAACAGCUUAACAUUCGUUACAGUGUCCUAGGUUUGACAUGGCGGCCCUAGUAACAGUCCAGAUUUUUUUACAGUUUUAUAGGUUUGACAUGGCGGCCCUAGUAACAGCCCAGAUUUUGUUACAGUUUUAUAGGUUUGACAUGGCGGCCCUAGUAACAGUCCUGAUUUUGUUACAGUUUUAUAGGUUUGACAUGGCGGCCCAGUAACAGUCCAGAUUUUGUUACAUAUCUAUAGGUUUAAUAUGGUGCCCUUAAUAACAGCCCAGAUUUUGUUACACAUCUAUAGGUUUAACAUGGCGCCCUUAGUAACAACCCAGAUUUCGUUACAGUUUUGGAUCAGCUAUAAGUUUACGAACUUACAACGCUCUAAAUUUGGGAUUCGAUUCCCUGUGGUGGACAGAGUACAGAUAGCCAACUGAAUUGUGUAGCUUUGAACUAAGAGAAUAAUCAAAUGUCGAGAAGAAAAUAAGUAAAAUAGCAUUACAUUUUAAUAACGAAAUUAAAUAAUCAUUUUUCUUUACUCUUUUCCUGUAACCUCUAUUUUUGUCAGGACGUUGAUAUAAAUAAUUAAUUAUUAAAAAGAAAAAUAUGAAACACCACCUAUUAGAACAGAAAACAUAGAUUUUUAUUUAAGGUUUCAUCGGGACAAAAAAAAAAAAA